AAAGAAAGGAAUUAGGUAUUCCGAUUCCAUUUUUCUAUUAGCCCUCGACCCAGACACGGAGAAUAGGGCAGCGACGGUCUGACGGGACCGUAAAGUGCUAUGCGUACAGAUACGGAAGGCAGAAUUUCUGCGCCCUUUCGCUUCUCCCUCCGAAGCCUGAUCUCCUCCCGUGUAACCCAGGUGAAUCUCGAGAACUGCGGAACCGGGGUUUCUUGGGCUGCGGCUGCCGCCGGCGGAGAGGGCUUCGAUGGAGGACGACAGGUUGAAUUCGCCAAGCACAUCAGUUGUCACACUUGAAGUUCUGGGACAUCACCUGCGUUUAUCUCAGGAUCCCAACUCCAGGCAUCUAGGUACUACAGUUUGGGACGCAUCGAUGGUAUUUGUGAAAUUUCUGGAAAAAAACUGCAGAAAAGGAAGGUUUAGCCUGCCCAAGUUGAAAGGAAAACGUGUGAUUGAACUAGGAGCUGGUUGUGGUCUAGCUGGACUAGGAAUGGCACUCCUUGGAUGUGAUGUAAUUUCAACAGACCAAGCUGAGGUGUUACCAUUGCUCAUGAGAAAUGUUGAGCGCAAUAAUUCUUGGAUCAUGCAGACAAAUCCUGAUUCAGCAUCAUUUGGCUCCAUUAAGGCUGCAGAGUUGGACUGGGGAAAUAAAGAACACAUUAAAGCUGUUAAUCCUCCGUUUGAUUACAUUAUUGGCACCGACAUUGUUUACUCAGAGCAUCUAUUGGAGCCACUACUGCAGACAGUUUUGGCCCUAUCGGGACCUAGAACGACCAUACUGAUAGGCUAUGAGAUCCGCUCCACCACAAUCCAUGAAGAGAUGAUUCGCAUAUGGAAGGACAAUUUUAUAGUAAAAACCAUCCCCAAGGCAAAGAUGGAUAACAAGUUCCAACACCCCAGCAUACAACUUUUCAUGAUGGAGUUAAAAACUCAAUCUAGAUGCGGAGACGACCACUCUGUUGAAGCACAAAUUUCUGAGUCUAGUCGAAGUGAUGAGGAUAGUGAAGCCUGUGCGGUGGAAGAAAGGGAAGAUAUUGGGGAGAAGACUGGAGACAGUAUUAAGGCUAUGGAAUUGGAAAAGGGGAAAGUUGAUGACUGGGAAAUUAGAAGAUAUGGAUCUAUGGCUGCACGGCUUUUACGAGAUGUCAAAAUAACUUGAAGUUGUUAGGAUUUCUUCUUUGCUCCUUAGACUAAUGCUAAUUGUAUGGAGCCUGGUACUACCGAUCCAAGUUAAGGUUUCCUGAUUACCUUUGGGUCUUACUGGCUUUCCAUGUCUUGAAUUGAAGCCAAUUAGUAAGACGAACCACCUGAAGAGUUGAUGCAUGCAUGCUGUGGCGAGAAUUUGUAAGACAAAAGUGGCACUCAUGUCGAACAAAAGAAGAGCAAUGCAUCAUCGCAAACUAGGGAGUUUAGUGUGGUCGUUUGCAAUUUGUAGGGUUUGAGCCAUACCACGUAAGGCUCGAUGGCCCUGGUAUUGUUCUAUCUUUGGACUUAUCAGGUUUGAGUAUGGGUUUCCCAUUCUAAUUAAAAUCAUAUUUGCUCCAA